UCCCGGAAGGCGCACUAAAUUAGCCCUAAAGAUCGCUGGGAAUUGUAGUUUAAUCUUUCCAUCAGCGUUAAAUCAGGAAGUCUUGAGAAGUGAAAAGCCACAGCCUGACUUGUCUGAUCUCCUAUCAACAAAAACUUAAUGGGUGCAGUAGGAGCUUCAGGGAGCUGUGAGCAGUGACCUGCUGACAUCAAGGGGUCCCCUCAGCAUUGAAGACAGAAGAGGCAAAUGACAUUUCAUGUCCCACUUGGAAAGUCAAGGUGCAGAAAACAGAGGGGACCAGACUCCUUCAUAUCCUGCGCAGCGUCAUCUCCUGCCGCAAGAAGCACCCCACCUGCCGCAAGAAGCACUCCACCCGCAUGACUCAGUCUUUGCCCAGUAGGUUGAUGAUAACCUAAGAAGCUGAAGACCUCACAGGGGCUCUGAAAGCCAACUGAAGUAGAUGCAGCAAACUGUUCCAUCAUGUCAUCCUUCCCUCUGCCUUGGGUCACCAGCCAAGGGAGGGAGUGGCUCAGGUGUUUUCCUUUCCACCCCUUUGUAAGCCCCCACGCAGAUCUCCUCCCCAUCCCAGAAGCCCAAGGAGCCAGCAAUAUCUGUGGUUCCCUGAGGUUCGGAGAGACACAGUAGCAAAUAACUGUACCCAGGCCCCACUCCCCACUUCCAGGGAUGUAUAGCUUCGGGGUGUGGAGCACAGAGGACUUUUCCCAGAGCCUCACCCCAGAUGAACAGCCAACUUCCCUUUGUUCAGCCUUCCUCAGAUACUCAAACCCAGCAGCCCAUGGCCUUCUCUGUCAGGAAGUCCUUCCUGAUGUCUAACUUACAUCUUUCCUGCUGCUGUCUAUCCAGCCCUUAGCAGUGACAGGAGAGCAGUCUGAGCUCUAAUGAUCAGGGAAUGGGGACAAGAACAAGUACUUCCCUUCAAGCCUUGGGUAGGGGAGUAGUAAGCAAAGAAAGAAGAGUGGCUCACUCAGCCUCAUCUCUCCCGGCCUGUAGCAGUAGAAAUGGAGGGUAGACAACUGGAAGGACUUCCUAGCCAAGCAAAGGGAGGUACUUCUGGAAUAGGAUUAUAAAGUGCAAAGGCUGCGCCCUUUCUGAUGGCCUCCCAGCCUGGCAGAGACCCUUCAGUGGCAGCUUCAGAAGGAUAACCGGCACUUCCAGAAAAGCUCAGGGUGCUGGGAUUACUGGGAACCCUUGCAGCUCCAGCAAAAAGAAAAACCUGGUCCUGGAGCCCCCUUGUGGCCGUGCAGAGGCAGGACAGGCAGUUCCACCUCCCACCACCACACCCGUGCUUAGAGCUGGGGCCCAGGGUUGCUGAUGCAGAGGACAGGGAACCCAGGGCCCCACCUUCUGUGAGAGGCCAAAUCGGCAGCCCCAGCCCCGAGGGCACCUGAUCAGGAAGGAGUAGGGCCCAGAAGGAGCACUGGAAGAGGACACAGGCUAACCCCAUUCUGUUCCUAAUCUGCCGCUCUCCAUCUGGUGACCCUGGGCACACCUCCCCACAGAGCCUCAGUGACCUCAUUCAUUAAAAGGAAGAAAAAGCCGGGCACGGUGGCUCACACCUGUAAUCCCAGCACUUUGGGAGGCCGAGGCGGGCGGAUCACGAGGUCAGGAGAUCGAGACCAUCAUGGCUAACACGGUGAAAUCCUGUCUCUACUAAAAAUACAAAAAUUAGCUGGACGUGGUGGCACAUGCCUGUCCCAGCUACUCAGGAGGCUGAGGCAGGAGAAUCGCUUGAACCAGGGAGGCGGAGGUUGCAGCGAGCCGAGAUCAUGCCACCGCACUCCAGCCUAGGCAACAGAGCGAGACGCCGUCUCAAAAAAAAAGUAAAACUCCCUCUGGCCCACCAUUUUACCUUAAAGAAGUGUGGAAAGAACCAAAUGCAAUGAUAAUGUUCCGUACGUGAACUUGAAUCAUUUUUAAAACUCCUCUUCAGGCCGGGCGCCAUCACGCCUGUAAUCCCAGCACUUUAGGAGGCCAAGGCGGGCAGAUCACCUGAGGUCAGGAGUUUGAGACCAGCCUGGCAAACAUGGUGAAACCUCGUCUCUACUAAAAAUACAAAAAUUAGCCAUG